rnacentral:rRNA from 1 species
UACGUUCCCCGGGUCUUGUACACACCGCCCGUCACACCAUGGGAGCGGGUUUUACCAGAAGUAGGUAGCUUAACCGUAAGGAGGGCGCUUACCACGGUAGGAUUCGUGACUGGGGUG